rnacentral:rRNA from 1 species
AAACUUUCAACAAUGGAUCUCUUGGUUCUCGCAUCGAUAAAGAACGCAGCGAAAUGCGAUAAGUAAUAUGAAUUGCAGAAUUCCGUGAAUCAUCAAAUUUUUGAAUGCAAAUUGCACUUCUUGGUAUUCCGAGGAGUACACAUGCUUGAGGGUCAGU